rnacentral:lncRNA from 1 species
AAGCCAUUCAGCAGCCUGACUGCAUAUGGUCAAGACCGGGCCAGGAUCCUGAAAGCACCAUCCUCAGCUAGGGCCACUCUGCAAAGGAGACCAACAUACUCGGUAAACCUAGGUCUCUUGGAGCCUUGUACCCAUUAGAGAUUUCCCAUGCCCUCUUCUCUCCUUUCCAUUCAUAAACUUUCUAGGCUGCCAAAUUCUCGUAGCCCUGUUCUUUCCUGGGGAUUAACAUUAUACUGAGUUGUAGAAUCUCAUCUUGUCCCAUUUUUUUUCCUCUUGUACCAUCCUCCUGUUUGGGUUAUGUCUCAGGUUCCCACACAGCCAUCUGGGUGAUAAUAGCUUCUGUCUUAGAGAUGUGUCCAUUCUCCACAUUUUGUAUCAACAGAAUCAUGCCAGAGGUAGUCUCCUGUAUUUUCUGGGUUUUCUGGAUUCUUCUUUGAGGGUGGGGUAGGGGAUGUUUUGUUUUGUUUUGUUUUGUUUUGUUUUGUUUUGUUUUGUUUUGUUUUGUUUUGUUUUGUUUUGAGACAGGGUUUCUCUGUAUAACCCUGGCUGGCCUGGAACUCACUUUGUAGACCAGGCUGGCCUCAAACUCAGAGGGAUUCACCUACCUCUGUCUUCCAAGUGCUGGGAUUAAAGGUGUGCACCAUUGGGGCUGGAGAGAUGGGUCAGUGGUUAAGAGCACUGACUAAACCCUUUCUCAAAAAACCAAAAAACAAAAAGAAAGAAAGAAAGAAAGAAAAAGAACACUGUCUACUCUUCCAGAGGUCCUAAGUUCAAUUCCCAGCUACCACAUGGUGGCUCACAACCAUCUGUAAUGGGAUCUGAUGCCCUCUACUAGUGUGUCUAAAGACAGCUACAGUGUACUCAUGUACAUAAAAUAAAUAAAUAUUAAAAAAGAGUGUGCACC